CCUACGGGAGGCAGCAGUGGGGAAUAUUGCACAAUGGGGGAAACCCUGAUGCAGCGACGCCGCGUGUGUGAAGAAGUAAUUCGUUAUGUAAAGCUCUAUCAGCAGGGACGAAAAUGACGGUACCUGAGUAUGACGCCCCGGCUAACUACGUGCCAGCAGCCGCGGUAAUACGAAGGGGGCAAGCGUUAUCCGGAUUUACUGGGUGGAAAGGGAGCGUAGACGGCAGUGCAAGUCUGGAGUGAAAGGCGGGGGCUCAACCCCCGGACUGCUCUGGAAACUGUACGGCUGGAGUGCAGGAGAGGGAAGUGGAAUUCCAAGUGUAGCAGUGAAAUGCGUAGAUAUUAGGAGGAACACCAGUGGCGAAGGCGGCUUACUGGACUGUAACUGACGUUGAGGCUCGAAAGCGUGGGGAGCAAACAGGAUUAGAUACCCGAGUAGUC
rnacentral:rRNA from 1 species